rnacentral:rRNA from 1 species
UACGGGGGGGGCAAGCGUUGUUCGGAAUUACUGGGUGUAAAGGGCUCGUAGGCGGCCAACUAAGUCAGACGUGAAAUCCCUCGGCUUAACCGGGGAACUGCGUCUGAUACUGGAUGGCUUGAGUUUGGGAGAGGGAUGCGGAAUUCCAGGUGUAGCGGUGAAAUGCGUAGAUAUCUGGAGGAACACCGGUGGCGAAGGCGGCAUCCUGGACCAACACUGACGCUGAGGAGCGAAAGCCAGGGGAGCAAACGGG